rnacentral:lncRNA from 1 species
AAUAAAUAAUCUCGUUUCGAAUAUUGUCACUUUAUUUGAAAAAACUCCAUUAUACCCUCUUUCGGGGUAGAAAAAAGGAUGUGUGACAGUUCUGACGACUCUGAUGGGGACAAGAAUCCAAAACUUCUGGUUAAGGGUUUAGAAUUCGAGCUUAAAUAAUUGUUAUAGUUGACUUUUAUUUAUUAUCUGAUUUUUACGUAUUUGAGACUAAUGUGCUAAAUAUCGCUUUUUACCGCUUUGAUAUUCUGUGAACUGUUUAUAAACUGUUACGAAACUCUUCUUCUCUCUAAAUCUUCUGGGAAGUACACACUAGCGUGACUUCUUUUCUGUUAGUGCCAUACCCUAAUUUAUAACGAGGAUCAAAUAAGUUACAAAGUCGGAUGGCCUUUUUGUUACCGUAUGUCCCCUCCNNNNNNNNNNNNNNNNNNNNNNNNNNNNNNNNNNNNNNNNNNNNNNNNNNNNNNNNNNNNNNNNNNNNNNNNNNNNNNNNNNNNNNNNNNNNNNNNNNNNNNNNNNNNNNNNNNNNNNNNNNNNNNNNNNNNNNNNNNNNNNNNNNNNNNNNNNNNNNNNNNNNNNNNNNNNNNNNNNNNNNNNNNNNNNNNNNNNNNNNNNNNNNNNNNNNNNNNNNNNNNNNNNNNNNNNNNNNNNNNNNNNNNNNNNNNNNNNNNNNNNNNNNNNNNNNNNNNNNNNNNNNNNNNNNNNNNNNNNNNNNNNNNNNNNNNNNNNNNNNNNNNNNNNNNNNNNNNNNNNNNNNNNNNNNNNNNNNNNNNNNNNNNNNNNNNNNNNNNNNNNNNNNNNNNNNNNNNNNNNNNNNNNNNNNNNNNNNNNNNNNNNNNNNNNNNNNNNNNNNNNNNNCCUCCCGCCCUGGCUCGAGUUGUCCGCUCGGGUAAGCCAGGUCUAGAACAAUACAGUUAGGGUUUUUUAAACCUAGAAUAAUAUAGGCUCAUGUCGGGUCCCUAGUAAGAACGUUUGUUUGCAUCAUGUUCAUUUGACUUUUGGGACUCAAUACAGGGGUUGGGUCCGUCUAGGACAGGUGUACCCAAAUUAAAAAGACCAUCAUGAUGCAUCUUACGUGCUACUUGCGUGUUUAUUUACUUCGGCUUGCAUGUUGGCUGGUUUCUAAAAUAGAGAAAGAAAAUAAAAAAAAGGAAAAGAAAAUCAAGAAAAAAAGAAGAGUGAGGUAGGAUAGAAAAACGCCCGUUUCUGAAAAUCCUGAUAUUCAAAAAUCUCGAAACUCUUCCGAAAUUUUGAAAAAAAAAAGAAGAGAAAAGUAGAAAAAGAAAAUUUAUUUCAAAAUAAGUCAUCUUUCCUCUGUUCCAUCAAAACUGACCGAUUUACGCGGAUCUGACUCUCACUGGAUGUGAGAUACGUAGUCAAACCUCAUUGGUUCCAGAUCCAAUUUUCAAAAUUUUCAAAAAAAAUUCAUUUUCUUCAUUCUUUAGAAAAGUCUUUCUAUAAGACCUCAAUUUAACAAAAUAAUUCAAAAAUAUUUUCAUUUAGUUUCUUCUAAAAGUUCAAAAAUAUUUUCAUUUUUCUUUAGAAGUUUUAUUUUCGAAAAUUGAAAAGAAAAUUCAAGAUUCAAAAAUAUUUUCCUUAAAAGUCUUUCUUUCAUAAUUUUAACAUAAAAAUCCAAAAAUCCAAACAUAUUUUGUUUCUCCUUUAGAAGUUUUCUUUCGAAUUUCCAAAAAAAGAAAAUCAAAAUAAAAAUAUUUUCUUUUUUCUUUAUAAGUCUUUCUUUUGAAAAUUAAAAAAAUCAAAAUCAAAAAAAGAUUUCGUUUAUUUUCGAUCUUCCCGAACUAUGCAAGAUCUAAUUCAUGUUCCCACAUAAUAUGUAGACAACCCAUAUCAGGUUCGAUCAAAUGAUUUUGAAAAAAGAAAAGAAAAGAAAAGAGGGUGAAAAAAAUGAAAACAUGAUAAUAAUAAGGACUGAUUGAGUUCAUUCUAACAUGUUUUUGUUUUGAAUUGUGAAGAAAAUUGAGGUGGUCGAUUUCUGGUAAGCUAACAACACAAAAUCCAAAGCAAAAAAUGACAACUGACAUCGAAAUUGUUGCAAGCAGCCAUGAGACUCAGGGUCAGAGGAUUCAACAAGAGUCUACUGUGGUUGAGGAAAAUAGAGUACUGAAACAAAAAAUGACUGAAAUGUGUCAAGCAUGGGCCAACGGCCAAGGACCGCCCUUUCUUCUCAUGGUUUCCCAUAGUUCACACCCAUCUCGACUACUUCCAUUCCAUUCUCAUUAUCUGAUCAAUCUUUGGAUUUAGUCAUUAUCCCAACAGUACGACUACAGCUAGAACGUUUGUUUCAUGCUCUCAAAGUUUGUCAUUGACAACCAAUAAGACAAACUCUACUGUUAUGCCUGUCUUUACCAUCAUACAAUCGACGGUGGUACAGAGGAAAACUCAUGAGCUAUAAUUUGCUACUGAGAAAGAGCAGUACCACUCGUACUUGUUUGAUAUUCCUUUAAACAUUGAGAAGCCUACUCGAAAGAUGGCACAUGAAGAAAUGACCCAAAGAAUGAAAAGCUUAGAACAACGGUUGAAAAACAUGCAAGGGUUGGCUGGUUAGAAGAACAUUGCCUUCAAGGAUUUAUUUAUGUUCCUCGAUGUCCACUUGCCACCUGGUUUCAAGACUCCCAAAUUUGAAAAGUAUGAUAGACAUGGAGAUCCCAUGGCCCACCUGAAAAGGUAUCGCAAUCAGCUAAGAGGUGCUGGACGAAAUGAAUAAUUGCUAAUAGCUUAUUUUGGGAAAAGCCUUAUGGGAGCAGCCUCCGAAUGAUUUAUGGAUCAAGAUACCUCUCACUCGCAUGUUUUUGGGAUGACAUGGCUCGGGCCUUUGUCAAAUAGAUACAACAUUGACAUUGCUCCAUACCAGAAUUCCCUUUCAAACAUGAUGAAGAAACUAAAUAAAAGUUUCAGGGAAUAUGCCAUUAAAUAGAGAGAGCAAGCUGCUAGAGUUAAGCCAUCCAUGGAAGACCACGAGUUAAUCACUGUCUUUCUUUAGGCUCAAGAGCCAAAUUAUUUUCAAAACAUGAUGUCCACAGUGGGAAAAUCCUUCUCGGAAUAAUUCAAAAUAGGAGAAAUGGUAGAGAAUGGUCUUAAGACAGGCAAAAUUAUAUGUCAAGCAGUUUUUAAAGCAGUAACUCAGGCUGUCCAGGCUGAAUCUGAUAAUUUUAGUGACACAAAUGAGAAGGAUGAAGAACUCAUGACAAUGAUAGGGUCGAGAAGAGGUCCCAGGAGAACAUCUUGAAGGUAUGAGCAGUCUCAUGAGAUUUCCCAUGACUCCUAUAAGCAUUACUAUCCACCUCAGAACACACAAUACUCUGUUGCUCCACCUCAGUAUGUGGUCUAUCGACCAAAACACUCCAGAAGGCGAGCACGAGCACCGCAAAAUUUUUAUGUGCCCUACAACCCACAUCCAAGACAGGGGUAUAGAGCAUAACAAAGGUUGAAAGAUAAUUUUACACCAAUAGGAGAGUCAUAUGCAAGCUUGUUUAAGAAAUUAAAGCAUUAUGACAUGAUUGCACCUAUUCCUCCAAAUCAUCUGGACCCACGUGCAAGAAGAUUUGACCCUUCUAAAAGGUGUGAAUACCAUGCUAAUGUCUAGGGGCACAAUGUUGAAAGUUGUUGGGAUAUGAAAAGAGAAAUUGAAAGGAUGAUCAAGGAAAAACUGAUUGUAAUCCAAGACAGUGAUACCUAGAGUAUCGCGUGGAGUCCUUUAUAUGCACAUGAUGAUGCAUGGUGACACGAAGAAUGAGAAUCCCUUCGAGAAUUCGCUGACUGAAAUUAGAGAAGGAAAUAGUGAUUAUGAUGAGCAAAGUUGUGGCUAAAUGUCAAGCUUAGCCAUUGAAAAGUCAUUCUAUCCUCACUAGGAAGGAAUCUUGGUAGCUUGUUUUGAUGUUUUUUCUGUUAUCUGGGUUAUUUUAGGGUUGUGAUCCAAUUUUUAUUUGUCUAAUUGAGUCAAACUCUCCUAUCCCUUUAUUUUGUCUGCAUGAGUCUUGUCUGUUUGUUCUGUUGCUAUUUCAGUGUCUGGGUUAUUUCACGGUUGUAGUUCGGAUUUUAGGUUGUUUUUCUUAUUUUCAAACCCUUCCAUUCUUAUUCACUAAAAUACAGCUUUCUGUGUCAUUCUGUGCUUAGUUUCUUUCCGCUAGUUUUAGUGAGAUGAUAUGCAUGCAGAAUUGUUGGCCAGGUCUUAGAAAAUUUAUUUGAGCUUGAAUUGGAUAACUGGAAACAAGAAACUUUUGAGGAUGAAAAAGAGUUGAAAUACCUUGGAAUUAAGUCCGAGGAAGAUUCAAGUGGAACUAGAAUAGUCAUACCCGUAGAGGUUAAGAAUCUUUACCUUCAAAAUCAUUGUAAAGGUCGGGCUUGAGGAAAAUCAAUUGAAGUUUGUUAGAAAGUUUGACAUUAAAGGAUUAAAAGUGUCUUGUAACCACGACACACCAAUAAGAUAGACAUGUUCAUCAAUGUUGUGAUAGCAAAAAAGAUAAUAUGUUUGGCGUUACUUGAGGUUGAGAGGCCUUUUUUACGCUACGCAAACACUUCGUACCCUUUGUUACCCCUUUUGAGCCUACGUUAUUUUCUUUGACCACCCUCUUUUGGAAUCGGGUUUAAAGUCAAAAAUGAAUAAUAAAAGAACUAUCAAAGGUCCAUGCCCCCUGAAAAUAGAAGAUGGGGCAACUUCUUUCAAAAACAAAAAGAAAAAAGAAAGGAAAAAGAAAUAGAAAGAAGAUGAAACAAAUUAAUUAGCUCAAAUGUUUGAACUACGUUUGACCUGAUUCCUUAAAAAAUGGUACGUAAGCAGCCUUGUGGUUUGGUUCAACCAAAUAAGAAUUCGAAAAAAAUUCAAAAAUCUCUAGUGUUUGAAACUGCGGAAAAAAAUUUAUUCCUUUUUUGAAAGAGUCGAUUCCAAGAGUUGUAAGUCUACAACCCCCUCAGUUUGAGUCGACUUUAAGCAUUCAUGCCGUCUUUUCUUUCCAACCCUAUCCAAGAACCUUCAAAAUAAAGACCUCCUCAUCGUUCUCCAAGAAUGACAACAAAAGCAUGAAUGAGCAACGAUUGUCACACAAUAUAGAACACUAUCAAGUUGCUCACAAUAAAAGGAAAGAAAAAUAAAAAUAAAAAUGAAAGAGUCUUACUAGUGAAAAUCCCCACGGGCACUGUAAGUUGACGAACAAUCCCGACUUGAAAGUUUAUAAGAAUUGCAAAAGGUAAUAUUGGAUUAGUUUGAUAGGCUAUGUCGUUGAGUCAAAAAUGCAUGCCAUGAUUAUUAAGCCUAGUUAUUGAAAAAAGGAAAAAAGCACUUCCUUCUAUCCUUCCGACAGGAGCAUUUCUUAUUAAUACUUGUUUCUUUGUAUUAUUGUGUCCUUCACUUUGAGUUGAUCCUUGUCAAAACAAGCAAGAAAAGAUUUUAAAAUCUGCUACCAGCUUUUAUUGCACAAAGUAAAUUUGGCCAGCAUACUCAGUUGUUACUGUCGAUAUACCUUGAGGAUUCAUGCAAAGGCUCCCCUAAAAAAGACACUUCUCAGACAACUUGGAGCAAGCAAAGAUAACUGGUGAUUCUCUCAAGAUAUCAGAAAAAGUCACCUAAGCAAAGAUUUCCCGUUGGGAUAAAGCUGAUUGAGCCACAAAUACAAAUGGUGCUGGGUGUGAAAAAUUUAGGGUUGAUUCAGAGGAAAAGUUUCUUAAAACCAACUCAAACUGAUUGAACAGAAGCCAAGUUGCCCAAGACUCAAGGCAUCAAACCGACCACCACUUUUAAAACUGAGAAAUUUUUCUUUGUGAAACGGGAACAAAGUAGUGCAAGGAAAGUGGUUCUAAAAAAUAAAUUUAAAAAAACAAAAAAAAAAAGAGGAAAAAGAAAAGAAGAGAAGAGUCGACAAAGGGAAGUUUCUCAAAUCUUUGCCUUUAAUUGUCUCGUUGUUGUGCAUAAAAUCUUGUCAUUGAUCUUCACACUUUCCUCAUAGGGUAAAAAGUCCUAGUCUUAUGUAUUUUCCACCCGAUAAAAAAUCCUAGUCUGAUGAAUCUUUCUCCUAGGAUAAAUAUCUUUGUUUGAUGAAUUUUUAUCCUAAGAUAGGAAACUUAGUCAGAUGAAUUUUUUCCUUAGGAUAUAAAUCUUAGGCUGAUGAAUCUUUAUCCUGAGAAAACAAAACAAGAGGGGGAUGGGGGACCUAGUCUGAUGAAUUUUUUCUUAGGAUCAAAAUCUUAGUAUGAUGAAUCUUUCUCCUAAGAUAGAAGACCUAGUCGGAUGAACUUGCUCCUAAUAUAGAAAUCUUAGUCUGAUGAAUUUUUUUCCUAAGAUAGAACACCUAGUGUGAUAAACUUUCUCCUAGGAUAGAAAUCUUAGUCCGACGAAUCUUUCUCCUAAGAUACCAAAAAAGAAAAGUGACCUAGUCUGAUGAACUUUCUCCUAGGAUCGAAAUCUUAGUUUGCUGAAUCUUUCUCCUAAGGUAAGACACAUCGUCUGAUAAACUUUCUCCUAGGAUCAAAACCUUAGUUUGAUGAAUCUUACUCCUGAGAUAGAAAACCUAGUCUGAUGAAUUUUCUCCUAGGAUAAUAAUUUUUUUUAUAAGAAAAGGGAAGUCUAGAUUUGGAAAAAAGGGGGUCAAUUUCUAGUUUUCUUAAGUUAAUAAUUUUUAGUCUUCUUGAAAUCAGAGGUCUCGUCUGGAGAAUAGGGUCAAUGUUUACUUUAAUCAAGCAUAUUUUAUAGUGUUUCGCAGGCUCAAUCUUAAAUCUAAGAGACACACUUCCUAGUCUGGGUCAUUUAGUUUUUUUAGCAGAUACAUUUGCUAGUCGAAAUUUUCUUGAUUUUACUCACAGGAGACACACUUCAUAGUCGAGACUCCAAUUUUACUCUCAUCAGUAGCAUAGGUGAUUUAUAGUUCUUCUAACAACUCACAAAUCUUCCUAGUGCAAACGGAGGCAGAAAAGUUUCUUUUGUUUUAUUUGUUUUGUUGUAGUAGUAGGCACCCACCUGAAGAAAAAGGGAAUUUAUUUCAGUCAUUUGAAGUUUCAAGUCGGUAGCAGGUGCCCACCUUGAGAAUAAGAGAAUUAAUUUCAAGUUGGAGUCAAAGACAGCAGGAUCCCUCCUGAAGAAUAAGGGCUACCUCCCGUCCUAUUCAAGUUAGAAGUAGCAAAAGCUCGCCUCAAGAAUGCAGGUCGAAAGGGGUCCGAGAUAACCAAAAAGAAUUCUCAUUCAAGAAUAAAAGAAAAAAAAAUGAAUCCAAAGUGCAGAAGUUGAUAAAAGAUGUGGACUGCUCAAGACAUAAUUAAAGUCACAAGCUCUGCUUGUCUCGUCUUGAUCUAAAAAAGCUUAAGAAGAUUGAACCAACACCUGCAACUAACAAGCAUCAAGGUUUAGAUCAAAGUCCACAUGAAGAACCAACCAAGACUCAAGAUCAAGCUUCAGAAGACUUAUAGAUAGGAAUAUUGUAACUCGUAGUUGAUAGACUUAGUUAGUCUUUUUUUAAUUUUGAUUUUGAUGUAAUAACGGGACCGCAGACCAGAACCCCGAUGACACCUCAAGAGGCCCAAACUUUACAAAAAUACAGGCUGAAGGUAGAAGACCCAUAAUCGAGCCUAAAUGAAAACAAACUGACAUACAAACCAAAGAGAUAUGCCAAAUGAACUUGAUCGUCAAUAUCUAACAGCUUGACAUACAUGAAAUAUUAAUUGCUUUCAAAAACCAUCUUACAUUCGUUCCUUGCUAUCCAAUCCCAAUUUUAUGUUAAAUACUGAUAUUAUCAAAAAUAAAGCACACCAUAUAAAACUCAUCACUUAAUGCAAACCUUAAUGCGGUACAUCAUAUCUAAGCCCAUACUAAGCCCAUAUGGAUUGAUUUUAUGAAAACCUUCAGCAUUAAUCUCCUGGAUUCCUCUUCCUUAGUAUUCGUGUCCUAAUUUACACAUGCCGACAUAUUUAAGCACAGAAUAUAAACCAACGUAUGUUGAAUCUUCAUGCAUCAGCCUUCAAAUACUGCACAUAAUCACUAUUGUAGAAGAAAUUGUGUAUUCCUUUUCAAAGAGAAUGUGACAGCAUAUCCAACAGUCAACAUACACAAUAGAUUUCAACCAUUUUACAGGCUAACAUACUACCUUUAAACACCUAUUCCACCAUUACAAACACAACCUUAGGCUAAUAACAUAAAUAAGCAAGCAAUCUCAUGAAGCAAAGCUGAAUUACUAAAGAAUUAAAGGAGUUUAAUGACAUAAAAUGACAUUUGAUAAACAACAUGUCAUGAAACUUUCCAUCAGAUUAUGUAACUUCAGAUUUCCAACUCUUACACAUCUAGGGAUCUAGAAAGUACCUAGAAAUUACAAAAGGAAGAAGAGGUGAAAGCGAUGAAUAGCAACAUCAGGACAACAAUGAGACAAUAUCAGCAGAAAUCAACUCCACCAGCAAAAGAAUUGUAAGCCACCACCAAACUCAAGUAAAAAAAUUCUUUAACCAACAGAUUCAGUCCAUUUGUGAAGUCCAAACCAAUAAAAUGACAAAUCCUAGAGAAUCAGCCCCAAUUUCUAACUCAAACCAUUUUCAAACUCCAAAUGAAUCACAAGUUGCUUCAGAGGCUGAAAAUUUCAGGAAUCAAAGAAGGAAAUUCAAUAGAACAAUAUUUUUCUCUCAAAAGUUCUAGUUGUCUGUAUUUUGUAUUUUCAGCUCUUAAGUUCUCUGCCUUGAAAGGCAAGGUAAAGAUGCCUUUAUAGGCAAACAAAUAGGGCAGACCUAAAAGUUCAGUUUUGCACUUCUAGUACCUCUCUAAUUUUAUUUUUUGCUUAAUCUAAGAAGCUUCCUAAACAGUUAACAAAGAUUUCCUCACCUAAAUUCCCUAAAUUACCCCUGAAACCUUGUUAAUUAACCCAAAAGCCCAAACGGGUCAACUGGCUAAGCUAAAUGGGUUGUAGCCCCCAAAUUGGAUCCUUAUUUGGGCAUGUUGCUAUUUAUCAACCAACUAAGAAUACUUAGGGGCUCCGGAAUAAAACUAACCUAGAAUUUUCCCCAAAUGAAGAAAACCCAAACCCAAUUCUGUGAAAGCAAACUGAAACAAAAGCAAAAAAUGAAUGAAUUAACCACUAUAAUUUCAUAAUAACAAUUAACUAAUCAUUGACCUAAUUUUAUUAGCUAGAUGAUUUAACUAACGAUGAGACAACAAUUAGCUAUUAACAUAGAGAUUAAAACCAAGAGAAGAAAGUGUAUUAAAAGGAACUGAGAUAUUAUAGCUAACAAAGAAAAAAACGAGGAACCAGUUUGAACUACAGAAUACCCAAACAACAUUUGGACCAAUCCAAACAGAAGGGGAUGAGGAGGAAAAUGAACCACGGAAAGGAAAUCAAUCAAGAGAGGAAGAAAAACUUACCCAGUCACGCUCGAAUGAGGUCGCUUUUGAUAAAUCAAUAGGUUUUUAGUCUUGCAUAAGGCUGGUGGACUUCUUCAAAUUAUUGACCCGAAUAGCCCUUAAUCGUGUGUUUCCAUGUGAAAACACACGAAAAAAGGCCGUUACAGUCCAAAUUAUUCAAAAAACCGAUGAUUUGCACUUUGGUUUUUUAGGGUUCCUAUAUUCAAAUCAAGAUUCGAGAAGAUGCGGGAAGAUUCGAAGGAAAUGAAGUAUAUUUAUCGAAUGAGGGGGAGACGGGGGUUCAGGGUUGUUAAUUUGGUGGUAACUAGGACUGGUGCCGUCACCUUAAGGCGGUGGAAACAGAGGCGGCGGGCCAGGGUUUUUGGAUGGUCUCUGAGAUAGAGAGGAGUGAAGCAGACGAUGUAGAGGGGGAGAGUGAUUUAGACACUUAAUAUUUAAGUGUCCCCC